UUUUGGUACCAGGAAUCAAACUCAGGACCUUGCGCUUGCCAGGCAGGCGCUUAUGCCACUGAGCUAGAUCCCUGGCCCUUGGUUUAAUUUUUAGUCUUGUUUACCAAAGGCUUUCAUGCUGUUCAUUCAGGCAGCCCACGAGCCAAUAAAAUAGUUGCUGCUUCAAUUUUACCAGAUUACAGAUACCACCUCAAUUAAUAGACCUCAUUGAUUUCUAACUCUUAAUUCAUUUACACUAAUAUGCUCACUCCAUGGAUGGACAGUUCCCCUAGUUACCGCCGUGGCUUUAAUUUUAUUACAGGUUUUACAUUAUCUCCUAAUAUCUUUCUUUGGCUUUGCUCUCCUAGUCUGCUUUUUCAGAUUUUGUAAGCAAAAAGCAUAGAGUUGGAUGAUGCGUGGCAUGUGGACCUUCCAAGGAGCUCAGAAGGAAAACACAGAGCGCCCUCGUUAAUUUGGAUUCCACUGACUUUGAAUUGGGGAUAAUUUGGACACAUUGUAAAUGAGAAGUUGUUGGCAUUAUUUUUGAAGAAAUGCACUGCUUUCAAAUUUUGCCAGGUUAGUUUUAUGUCUGAAAUGAGGACAUAAGAUAGGAGGUUAGAAAGAACAGAGAAGUCCUACAUCUUUGAGGGAGAGUGAGGCUCAUUUCAAGCUUGGACGUGCACACAUCAGGCGCUGUGCCAGAGCUAAAUCCCCAGCCCUUUAAAGCCUUAAUCUUGACAAGGGUUUUUGUGGAGUUGCUGUGACCCCUUGAAUCGGGACCAAAUGAAGCCUCCCCUCCGCUUACCUCGCUGUCGCUGCCCGGGAACCUGUCCUCCCCGCACCGGAGCGGAUGUGGUGGAAGCAGCUGGUGGCGUACUCGGUCCACUCAUCAUCCCUGGGAAGGCUGGAGGCAGCGUUGGAGAAGGAGCGGAACACCGACAGCUUGCAGGCUAUUUUCCUACAGCGUCUUUUUCAGGGGCUGCACCUCUUUGUUCUGGCGGCAGGGGCGGGGUGGGAGGUGGGUCUUCCUUUUGGAGAAGGCAGCUGAGACCGACUGCUUCUUUAAGAAAUUUUCCAGUCCCAAUAGUGGGACGACCUGAAAGUUCUUAGCAGGCUGCCUCGGCAUUUGGGAGCAGCACCUGGAGAGCUCUGGGUGCAACCUCUUGUUUCCCAGUUGUUUUGCCUUUGAUUCUUUUAACGGCUGCUUCAGCAGGAAGAAUGUCCCAUUGUCCGAAGAGGGAGUUCCAUCAAGUGCAAACACACCUGUUUUGGAUUCUUAAGAUUCACACCACUGGCCUGUGAAAUAUUAUGAGGGGCCCUGUUAUGAUUUGUGUCUAGAUGUCCCGCAAAGCCUCAUACAGUCAUGGGGCGGGCUUCUAAACUUUGUGAUUGAUUCCCGGUCCAAUGCUAGGAUUAUGGGUGUGAGUGCUACACCCCUCCUGGGGCGGGGAGCCUGCAUAGAAUACAAGGGAGGGAGGGAGGCUUGCUCUCUGCUGCUCCUUCCUUUUUGCUGUUGCUGCUUUUCCUGUUUUCUCAUGGCCUUGAACAGUUGCCCCCUGCCAUGUGCCACUCUGCCUUGGAGCCGGCCGAGUAUGGACUGAAACCUCCACAAACUGUGAGCUAAAUAAACCUUUCCUUCCUUCAUUUUGGGCAUCACGUAUUUUGUCUCAGCAAUGUGAGAAAAGUAACCAAGACAGGCCCUGACACACAGACUCCCAUUCUCAGAAGCCCGCACAUGGGCUCAGCUCUCAUACUGGUUUUAGAUUUGUUGGUCCUUAGGGGUGGUUUUUGGUUUUUGGUUCUCAGUACCAGGAUCAUACUGUAGCUGUCCAUUUCCUUAUAGGUGGAGGACUAGAAGCAGACCCCAGACUGCUUGGAGGAAGUGUCUAUUUUGGUGGCAUCUAGUUCUGGUCAGAGUCACAUGGCAUUUGAAUGGUUUCAAAGUCAUGCGUCUUCCCUCAGAGGGGUGUUUGGCUCCUGAAAGGCUUCUUUGAGGAAUGAUGAAAGCAUUAAUUACACAGUGGCAAUGUUUGCACACUGAGUACACUAAAAACUAUGAUAUACUUUAAAGGAGCAAAUUGCAUGUGCUAUGCAUUUUAUCUCAAUAAAACUGUUUUAAAAAUCUAAUACAGAUGACGACGCGAAGGCAAAGUGCACGGUUUAGCGUGAUGUGUAAAGGGACACCUGCUGCGGGACAGAACCAAAUUUCCCCCUAUUUGUGCUGACCGAAGGACCUACAGCCAUGGCAGUAACUGAGGAGAGAUGCUUCCUUCACUUCAUAUGUUUUCAAGGUACAUCCACGUUGUAGCAUGCAUUCGGCCACUUCCUUCCUGCAGCUGAACAUUCCGCAUUUUAUCUACUCAUCAGUUGAAGGACAUUUGGGUUGUUUCUGGUUUUUGUUUUUGUGGGUUUUUUGUUUUUUUUUUUUUUUUUUUUUUGGCUUUUAUGGCUAUGAAUAAUGCUACUGUGAACAUUCAUGUGCAAGUUUUCAUGCAGACAUGUGUUUUUUGUUUCUCUUGACUAUACUUAGGAUUGGAAUCGCUGGGUCACAGGGUAACUCUGUCUGCAGUACUUUGAGGAGAUGCCAGAGCAUUUUGCAUAGUGGCUGCACCAUUUUACUACCAGUACUGCCUGAGAGUUCCAGUUUCUCUAAAUCUGUUUGGUUUUGUUUUAAAUCAAAUUUUCAAGACUGCUGACGGCAGAUCCAGACUGUUGAGAUGGAAAAAAUUAGAAAGAGAUAUACCAAUAUAUCAAGUGUUCCGGGGCUGCUGGCAGGGAUGUGAGCCUGUUGGAUGGAGAGUGGUCAGGAAAAAAUCCAGUGUAAAGUAAAAUAACAUAUUUUAAACAUGAUCAUCAUCAUUAACCAAGAUCUUGUCACCACCUGUUCUUUUGUGCUCAUCGGAAAAGCAAGACCAAAUGUAUGUCUCUCUCCUGGGCAGCAUGCAUAUUCAUAUUGAGAGAUUUAAAUUAAGGACAAAAUAAAUAAUUGUGAAUAAUUACAUUUGAGGGAGAAAAUGAAGCGCUAUUUAUGAUAUUGUUUCAGUCUGAUGUAUUAUCCAGCUAAAGUGCUAAUUCCCUCCUUGAAACCUUCAUUCCACUCAGUCCCUUCGGCAACUCUGCUAUCCUUUUCACCCCGUUAUUCUUUGGCUUCCUCUGAAAACAUAGGCUUGCUCCUCAGAUUACUCACUCGGCACCUUGUGAUGUGUACUGUUGUAGUUAUUUAACUGUUUUUUUCUCCUUACUGGACAUUGAACCCAGGGCCUUCGCACUGAACUUUACCACCAGACUCUCUUCUAUUUCUAUUUUAAGAGAGGCUGCCCCUUAGAUGCCCAGGCGAGGCUCGAACUUUUGAUCCUCCUGCUUUAGCCUCCCAAAGUACUAGGAUUACAGGCAUGUGUCACCACACCUGCCGUUAUUUCACUUUGAUGCAAAUAUGAUUUGCAUCCCUUCAUCACUGUCUGAAUGCAUUCAGGGUGGUAAACUUUCCAAUUCACCAAACGCAAUUUGGAAUUAGGGUAUGAGAGUUGCUUAAGUGUGCUCGAUUUAUCUCUGUUGAAUGAUUUAAUUUUGGAACCUGACACAAAUUUUGGUGAUAAGAUGACAAGGUAUAAAUUUUUAAAAAUUUCUGAACCCUGAGAAUAAGCACCUCCGGAAUUGCUUAUUUUAUAACAUAAUUUACCAACCUCAGAAAUGCAGUCUAUACUAGCAGUCAGAAAUAGAUAAUUGACCAAAACCUGACCCUCAGCCAAAUUUCUGAGUCAUUCUGUUGGUGACCGGUUUUGUCAUCUGAGCACACACGUGCGUGUGCAUGUGCACAUGCAAUCCACACAGCUCCAACAGAACUCCGGGUGGGGAUGUGGCUCAGUGGUUGAGCCCUUGCUUAUCGUGUGGAAGGCUCUGGAUUCUAUCCCCAGCACUGGCAACUAGCAACAACAACAAAAUAAUCCGCCUGGCAUUAUUUGCCUGUGAACGUACAAAACUUGAGCAGCAGUAAACAACAGGGUUGCAGGUUGCCACAAAAGCCUAAAGAUCCAUUCCCAGGACUGGAAGAUAAUAAUCAUCCGCUCGAACCUAUUGAGAGAUUUUAUUCACAGCUUUUUAUGCUGCAGAGUUUAUGAAAUAAAAUAAUAACGUAACACAGUGUACUUUGGAUUUAUAUAGCACCUUUCAUCCAAGGAGCUUAAAGAAACUUACAAACAUUACUCAUUCACUUUCAUAAUUUUUUAUUGAAUUAACAAGACAGUCUGCUGUACAAAAGUUGAAAGUAAUAAAAACAACCAUAUUUUAUAUAACUAUUCCAAACAUAGCCAUUUUCUGUUUGCUUGACUUACAUGAAAUUAUUCAGCUUCUCAUUAGUUUCAACCUCCAGGAGAUAAGGCGACAAUGAACUCCUGAAAUGUAUAAAUAAAAAAGAAUAAUUCAG
ensembl:lincRNA